rnacentral:rRNA from 1 species
UGUGAGAGUUCAUUACAUACCGUAUAUCAUAUUAGAGGAAGGAGAAGUCGUAACAAGGUUUCCGUAGGUGAACACUGCGGAAGGAUCAUUG